GAUGAACGCUGGCGGCGUGCCUAAUACAUGCAAGUCGAGCGAAUGGAUUAAGAGCUUGCUCUUAUGAAGUUAGCGGCGGACGGGUGAGUAACACGUGGGUAACCUACCCAUAAGACUGGGAUAACUCCGGGAAACCGGGGCUAAUACCGGAUAAUAUUUUGAACUGCAUAGUUCGAAAUUGAAAGGCGGCUUCGGCUGUCACUUAUGGAUGGACCCGCGUCGCAUUAGCUAGUUGGUGAGGUAACGGCUCACCAAGGCGACGAUGCGUAGCCGACCUGAGAGGGUGAUCGGCCACACUGGGACUGAGACACGGCCCAG
rnacentral:rRNA from 1 species